UACGUAGGGUGCGAGCGUUAAUCGGAAUUACUGGGCGUAAAGCGUGCGCAGGCGGUUCGUUGUGUCGGUGGUGAAAUCCCCGGGCUUAACCUGGGAAUGGCCAUGGAAACUGGCGAACUGGAGUGCGGCAGAGGGGGGUGGAAUUCCGCGUGUAGCAGUGAAAUGCGUAGAGAUGCGGAGGAACACCGAUGGCGAAGGCAGCUCGCUGGGACGUUACUGACGCUGAGACGCGAAAGCGUGGGGAGCAAACAGG
rnacentral:rRNA from 1 species